rnacentral:rRNA from 1 species
GACGAACGCUGGCGGCGUGCUUAACACAUGCAAGUCGAACGGUGAAAGCGGAGCUUGCUCCGCUGGAUCAGUGGCGAACGGGUGAGUAACACGUGGGCAACCUGCCCCUCACUUCGGGAUAACUCCGGGAAACCGGGGCUAAUCCCGGAUAUGACCUCCUUGGGCAUCCUUGGAGGUGGAAAGUUUUUCGGUGAGGGAUGGGCCCGCGGCCUAUCAGCUUGUUGGUGAGGUAGUGGCCCACCAAGGCGACGACGGGUAGCCGGCCUGAGAGGGUGACCGGCCACACUGGGACUGAGACACGGCCCAGACUCCUACGGGAGGCAGCAGUGGGGAAUAUUGCACAAUGGGCGCAAGCCUGAUGCAGCAACGCCGCGUGAGGGAUGACGGCCUUCGGGUUGUAAACCUCUUUUAGUAGGGAAGAAGCGAAAGUGACGGUACCUGCAGAAAAAGCACCGGCUAACUACGUGCCAGCCGCCGCCGUAA